rnacentral:rRNA from 1 species
ACGGGUGAGUAACGCGUGGGAAUCUACCGUGCCCUGCGGAAUAGCUCCGGGAAACUGGAAUUAAUACCGCAUACGCCCUACGGGGGAAAGAUUUAUCGGGGUAUGGUGAGCCCGCGUUGGAUUAGCUAGUUGGUGGGGUAAAGGCCUACCAAGGCGACGAUCCAUAGCUGGUCUGAGAGGAUGAUCAGCCACAUUGGGACUGAGACACGGCCCAAACUCCUACGGGAGGCAGCAGUGGGGAAUAUUGGACAAUGGGCGCAAGCCUGAUCCAGCCAUGCCGCGUGAGUGAUGAAGGCCUUAGGGUUGUAAAGCUCUUUCACCGGAGAAGAUAAUGACGGUAUCCGGAGAAGAAGCCCCGGCUAACUUCGUGCCAGCAGCCGCGGUAAUACGAAGGGGGCUAGCGUUGUUCGGAAUUACUGGGCGUAAAGCGCACGUAGGCGGAUAUUUAAGUCAGGGGUGAAAUCCCAGAGCUCAACUCUGGAACUGCCUUUGAUACUGGGUAUCGUGAGUAUGGAAGAGGUAAGUGGGAUUCCGAGUGUAGAGGUGAAAUUCGUAGA